GAUGAACGCUGGCGGCGUGCCUAACACAUGCAAGUCGAGCGAUUCUCUUCGGAGAAGAGCGGCGGACGGGUGAGUAACGCGUGGGUAACCUGCCCUGUACACACGGAUAACAUACCGAAAGGUAUGCUAAUACGAGAUAAUAUGCUUUUAUCGCAUGGUAGAAGUAUCAAAGCUCCGGCGGUACAGGAUGGACCCGCGUCUGAUUAGCUAGUUGGUAAGGUAGCGGCUUACCAAGGCGACGAUCAGUAGCCGACCUGAGAGGGUGAUCGGCCACAUUGGAACUGAGACACGGUCCAAACUCCUACGGGAGGCAGCAGUGGGGAAUAUUGCACAAUGGGCGAAAGCCUGAUGCAGCAACGCCGCGUGAGCGAUGAAGGCCUUCGGUCGUAAAGCUCUGUCCUCAAGGAAGAUAAUGGCGGUACUUGAGGAGG
rnacentral:rRNA from 1 species